AUGUCCAUGCUGUCGCUGCAGCUGCUUCUUCUCCCGCUCGCCUCCUUCCUGCGCACGGCUGCAUCCAGCACCGGCAGCAACGGGAGCUGCGCGCCGGAGUCAUGCGGGGACCUCACCAUCAGGUACCCCUUCUCCCUCGCCGGCGUGCAGCCGCUCUACUGCGGCUACCCGCCCUUGGACCUCACCUGCGAGGCCGGCACCGGCCCCGCCUACCUGAGCAACACGUUCAGGGAGCACCUGUUCCGCGUCGACAACAUCUCCUACGCGGACAACUCCAUGGUGGCCGCCGUGCAGACAGCCUUCGCCGGCGACACCGGCUGCCCCGUCCCCGACUUCAACGUGACGGCCAGCCUCGCCCUCUUCCCGUUCAACAUCAGCGCCACCAACAAGCGCCUCGUGUUCUUCUACAACUGCGCCGUGCCCGCUGAGUUCUUGCUGCGGCGGAAGUGCGCCAACCACACGAUGGGGGCGUACAUCUCGAAGCGCAGCUGGGGCGCCGGCGAAGGCGGCACGCCACCGCAGGGGGUUUCCACCAACUGUAGCUCGGUGAGCGUGCCGGUGCGCCGAGGAAUGGAGCCAGCUCAGCUGCACUACGACUACGUGCGGCUGAUCAGGGAGGGAUUCCUCCUGAAGCUGCCGCCGGUGCUGGGAGACUGCGACCGAUGCAGACAGAUGAGCUGCGGGGAGUGCAGGUUCGAUCAGUUCUCGUUCAAGUGCGUCUGCGGCCCCGACGGGAAGCUCUGCCCCAAUUCCACCCAACCCAGCUCACCAACUCCUCCAGAUACAGGUACAGGUGCAAAGGAUGUUGGAAUAAAGUAUGUCACAGGAAUCACAAGUGCUGUUCUGUUUGUCAUCAUACUGGGACUCGUGUGCCAUCUCAUACAACUCAAUCGAGCCAAGAACAAGAAACGAUCUGCGUCAGUGGACGGCCUCUUCCGUGAAGGAUCGCCGCUGGCAUCGCUCCGCAAGGAGUUCAACGGCCUUGCCGGCUCGCCGUGCACCCACAUCUUCACCUACGAGGAGCUCGACGCGGCCACCGACGGCUUCGGCAACGCCAAUGAGCUCGGCGCCGGCGGCUUCGGGACACUCUACAAAGGGGUUUUCCGGGACGGGAGCGUGGUGGCGGUGAAGCGGCUGUACAAGAACAGCUACAAGGGCGUGGAGCAGUUCGCCAACGAGGUGGACAUCCUCUCACGCCUGCGCCACCCCAACCUCGUCGCGCUCUACGGCUGCACCUCCUCCUCCCGCGACCUCCUCCUCGUCUACGAGUUCGUCCCCAACGGCACGCUCGCCGACCACCUCCACCACGGCAAGGACGGCGGCGGCGACACCCUCAUGCUCGCGUGGCCGACCCGGCUCGGCAUCGCCGUCGAGACGGCCGCCGCGCUGGCCUACCUCCACGCGCACCAAGUCCUGCACCGCGACGUCAAGACGACCAACAUCCUCCUCGACGACGGGUUCCACGUCAAGGUGGCCGACUUCGGGCUGUCCCGGCUGUUCCCGGCCGACGGCGCCACGCAGCACGUGUCCACGGCGCCGCAGGGCACCCCCGGGUACGUCGACCCGGCGUACCAACGCCGGUACCAGCUCACGGACAAGAGCGACGUGUACAGCUUCGGCGUGGUGCUCGUCGAGCUCGUGUCCUCCAGGCCGGCGGUGGACAUGGCCCAGGCCGACACCGACGUGAACCUGGCAUGCAUGGCCGUGCGCAUGAUACAAUGCUGCGAGAUCGACCGGCUGGUCGACCCGCGGCUCGGGUACGGGUCGUCGGCGAGCGAGACGAAGGGGACGAUCGACAUGGUCGCCGAGGUGGCGUUCCGGUGCCUGCAGCCGGAGCAGGACGUGCGGCCGUCCAUCGGCGAGGUGCUGGACGUGCUCAGACAGGCUCAUCACAGCAUUACCGAGAAGGUGACCUGCGCGUCCACUGAUGGCGCGGUGUUGGUGAAGAAGAGCAGAGACGGAUCGCCUGACUCCGUGAUGAACCAGUGGAUCAGCCCAUCAACCACCUUCAAUUAUAGCAGUUGA
rnacentral:rRNA from 1 species